GAACUUAAGCAUAUCAAUAAGCGGAGGAAAAGAAACCAACAGGGAUUGCCUCAGUAACGGCGAGUGAAGCGGCAACAGCUCAAAUUUGAAAUCUGGCCGCAAGGUCCGAGUUGUAAUUUGUAGAGGAUGCUUUUGGCGAGGUGCCUUCCGAGUUCCCUGGAACGGGACGCCAUAGAGGGUGAGAGCCCCGUACGGUAGGACCACCAAGCCUCUGUAAAGCUCCUUCGACGAGUCGAGUAGUUUGGGAAUGCUGCUCUAAAUGGGAGGUGUACGUCUUCUAAAGCUAAAUACCGGCCAGAGACCGAUAGCGCACAAGUAGAGUGAUCGAAAGAUGAAAAGCACUUUGAAAAGAGGGUUAAAAAGUACGUGAAAUUGUUGAAAGGGAAGCAUUCAUGACCAGACUUGGGCUUGGUUGAACAUCCGGCGUUCUCGCCGGUGCACUCUGCCAGUCCAGGCCAGCAUCAGUUUGCCCCGGGGGAUAAAGGCGGCGGGAAUGUGGCUCCCUUCGGGGAGUGUUAUAGCCCGUCGUGUAAUGCCCUGGGGCGGACUGAGGAACGCGCUUCGGCACGGAUGCUGGCGUAAUGGUCAUCAAUGACCCGUCUUGAAACACGGACCAAGGAGCCGUCUUCGUAUGCGAGUGUUCGGGUGUCAAACCCCUACGCGUAAUGAAAGUGAACGUAGGUGAGAGCUUCGGCGCAUCACCGACCGAUCCUGAUGUUCUCGGAUGGAUUUGAGUAAGAGCAUACGGGGCCGGACCCGAAA
rnacentral:rRNA from 1 species